AAAGCAUCUAAGCGUGAAGCCAGCCACAAGAUGAGACUUCCCAUUCGCAAGAAGUAAGACCCCCGCAAUGUUAGCGGGUUGAUAGGUCAGAGAUGUAAGUGCAGCGAUGCAUUCAGUCGACUGAUACUAAUAGGUCGAGGACUUAAUUUC
rnacentral:rRNA from 1 species